UUGUUUGCUAUUGCAUCAUCUUCAAGAUUCAGAAAUCAGAUAUUUUGAUGGGUUCUCUUUUUGAGCCUAUCUUCUUUGGUUUGAGAAUCUUGAUGAUGCUGCAGCGGCAAUUAA
rnacentral:pre_miRNA from 1 species